rnacentral:siRNA from 1 species
ACACUGCUUUAUUACUAUCUUGGC